AUGAGGUUGACUUCUGAGAGAAAGAGUCGCCAUUUUUAUUUGCUUGGGGUUUUGAUGUUAUCUUAAUUAACUAGAGUGCUACUUGUUAGGCAUUUCUUAGAAUUUGUGAUGGGUUUUAGUUGGUUUGGGUCGGCGGUUCGUGAGCUUGCUAUUAUUCUUGACGAAUUUUGAUGCUGAAAGACUUGGAAACCAUGCUGUCCACCACGCCGAGAAGCUGAGUAACAUUCUGCUUGUACAAUGGCGCCUCUUAAUAAAAGGAACUUGAGCCAUCCAAUCUAGGGCUUCCAUCCAAUCGUGCAGGCUGCAUGGAAGUCACAUUUACCUUUGCUGUGAACAUCAUGAACACAUACACUAUUUGAAGGUUCAUGUUUAUGUAACAGUGGUGUUGUUGCAGCCUUUGGUGGUGAAAGAUAUCUGCAUCAAGUUGCUGUUCCUGUCCAAGGUGGUGUGUUGUUGCAGCCUAUGGUGGUUAAAGAUAUCUGCAUCAAGUUGCUGUUUCUUGUGCAUCCAAGGUGUUGGUUUUGUGCUACAGAAGUGACAUCCAAUAUUGUGUUUAAUUGCUAUUCGUGUCUAUGCAGUUUACCUUUUACAUGUUGAUAAGAAACAAAAAAAGUAAUACGGGGAGGAUUAUGUCAAACAAAUAAUAAACAUGUC